GAUGAACGCUGGCGGCGUGCCUAAUACAUGCAAGUCGAGCGAACGGACGAGAAGCUUGCUUCUCUGAUGUUAGCGGCGGACGGGUGAGUAACACGUGGAUAACCUACCUAUAAGACUGGGAUAACUUCGGGAAACCGGAGCUAAUACCGGAUAAUAUUAUGAACCGCAUGGUUCAAAAGUGAAAGACGGUCUUGCUGUCACUUAUAGAUGGAUCCGCGCUGCAUUAGCUAGUUGGUAAGGUAACGGCUUACCAAGGCAACGAUGCAUAGCCGACCUGAGAGGGUGAUCAGCCACACUGGAACUGAGACACGGUACAGACUACUACGGAAGGCAGCAGUGGGGAAUCUUCCGCAAUGGGCGAAAGCCUGACGGAGCAACGCCGCGUGAGUGAUGAAGGUCUUCGGGUCGUAAAACUCUGUUAUUAGGGAAGAACAUAUGUGUAAGUAACUGUGCACAUCUUGACGGUACCUAAUCAGAAAGCCACGGCUAACUACGUG
rnacentral:rRNA from 1 species